rnacentral:siRNA from 1 species
CCGACCAGGGAUCAGCGGAU